rnacentral:rRNA from 1 species
UAAGCAUAUCAAUAAGCGGAGGAAAAGAAACCAACAGGGAUUACCUCAGUAACGGCGAGUGAAGCGGUAACAGCUCAAAUUUGAAAUCUGGCCUCACGGUCCGAGUUGUAAUUUGUAGAGGAUGCUUCGAGCAUGGUCUGGCCUAAGUUCCUUGGAACAGGACGUCAUAGAGGGUGAGAAUCCCGUAUGCGGCCAGGUGCCUACGCUCAUGUGAAGCUCCUUCGACGAGUCGAGUUGUUUGGGAAUGCAGCUCAAAAUGGGUGGUAAAUUUCAUCUAAAGCUAAAUAUUGGCCAGAGACCGAUAGCGCACAAGUAGAGUGAUCGAAAGAUGAAAAGCACUUUGGAAAGAGAGUUAAACAGUACGUGAAAUUGUUGAAAGGGAAGCGCUUGCAACCAGACUUGCGCGCGGCCGAUCAUCCGGUGUUCUCACCGGUGCACUCGGCCGUGCUCAGGCCAGCAUCGGUUUUGGCGGCUGGAUAAAGGCCCUAGGAAUGUAGCUCCUCUCGGGGAGUGUUAUAGCCUAGGGUGCAAUGCAGCCUGCUGGGACCGAGGACCGCGCUUCGGCUAGGAUGCUGGCGUAAUGGUUGUAAGCGGCCCGUCUUGAAACACGGACCAAGGAGUCUAACAUCUAUGCGAGUGUUUGGGUGUCAAACCCAUACGCGUAAUGAAAGUGAACGGAGGUGAGAACCCUUAAGGGUGCAUCAUCGACCGGUCCUGAAGUUUACGGAAGGAUCUGAGUAAGAGCAUAGCUGUUGGGACCCGAAAGAUGGUGAACUAUGCCUGAAUAGGGUGAAGCCAGAGGAAACUCUGGUGGAGGCUCGCAGCGGUUCUGACGUGCAAAUCGAUCGUCAAAUUUGGGUAUAGGGGCGAAAGACUAAUCGAACCAUCUAGUAGCUGGUUCCUGCCGAAG